GUAGGUGGCAAGCGUUGUCCGGAAUUAUUGGGCGUAAAGCGCGCGCAGGUGGUUCUUUAAGUCUGAUGUGAAAGCCCCCGGCUCAACCGGGGAGGGUCAUCGGAAACUGGGGAACUUGAGUGCAGGAGAGGAAAGUGGAAUUCCACGUGUAGCGGUGAAAUGCGUAGAUAUGUGGAGGAACACCAGUGGCGAAGGCGACUUUCUGGCCUGUAACUGACACUGAGGCGCGAAAGCGUGGGGAGCAAACAGGGAUUAGAUACCCUGGUAGUCCACGCCGUAAACGAUGAGUGCUAAGUGUUGGGGGGGUUUCCCGCCCCUCAGUGCUGCAGCUAACGCAUUAAGCACUCCGCCUGGGGAGUACGGUCGCAAGACUG
rnacentral:rRNA from 1 species